rnacentral:rRNA from 1 species
AGGGGCAGCGGGGGUGCAGGCUUGCCUGCACCUGCCGGCGACCGGCGCACGGGUGAGUAACACGUAUGGAACCUGCCCGCCACAGGGGGAUAACCCGGGGAAACCCGGCCUAAUACCCCAUGCCGCCCGGACCGGGCAUCCGGACCGGGCGAAAGGAGGAAUCCGGUGGCGGCUGGGCAUGCGGCGCAUUAGCUUGACGGCGGGGUAACGGCCCACCGUGGCGACGAUGCGUAGGGGUUCUGAGAGGAAGGCCCCCCACACUGGAACUGAGACACGGUCCAGACUCCUACGGGAGGCAGCAGUGAGGAAUAUUGGUCAAUGGGCGGAAGCCUGAACCAGCCAAGUCGCGUGAGGGAAUAAGGCCCUACGGGUCGUAAACCUCUUUUGCCGGGGAGCAAGGGCCGGGACGAGUCCCGGCCCGGAGAGUACCCGGAGAAAAAGCAUCGGCUAACUCCGUGCCAGCAGCCGCGGUAAUACGGAGGAUGCGAGCGUUAUCCGGAUUUAUUGGGUUUAAAGGGCGCGUAGGCGGGCUUUUAAGUCAGCGGUAAAAAUUCGGGGCUCAACCCCGUCCGGCCGUUGAAACUGGGGGCCUUGAGUGGGCGAGAAGAAGGCGGAAUGCGUGGUGUAGCGGUGAAAUGCAUAGAUAUCACGCAGAACCCCGAUUGCGAAGGCAGCCUUCCGGCGCCCUACUGACGCUGAGGCACGAAAAGUGCGGGGAUCGAACAGGAUUAGAUACCCUGGUAGUCCGC